rnacentral:rRNA from 1 species
CCCGUAGCGAUGAAAUUGGGGGAAUCCAGGCUCACCCUGGACUCCUCCAAAUUUUAUUUAGAGUCGAGAGAGGGGAGGGGACUCCGAGUUAGAGGUGAAUUNGUAGAUAUUCGNAGAACCCCAGUGGNGAAGGCGGCUCACUGGCUCGAUACUGACGCUGAGGUGCGAAAGUGUGGGGAGCAAACAGGAUUAGAUACCCUGGUAGUCCACACCGUAAACGAUGAAUGCCAGUCGUCGGAUAGCAUGCUAUUCGGUGACACACCUAACGGAUUAAGCAUUCCGCCUGGGGAGUACGGCCGCAAGGUUAAAACUCAAAGAAAUUGACGGGGGCCCGCACAAGCGGUGGAGCAUGUGGUUUAAUUNGAAGCAACGCGCAGAACCUUACCAACCCUUGACAUCCUGAUCGCGGUUACGAGAGAUCGUUUCCUUCAGUUCGGCUGGAUCAGUGACAGGUGCUGCAUGGCUGUCGUCAGCUCGUGUCGUGAGAUGUUCGGUUAAGUCCGGCAACGAGCGCAACCCACAUCCCUAGUUGCCAGCAGUUCGGCUGGGCACUCUAUGGAAACUGCCCGUGAUAAGCGGGAGGAAGGUGUGGAUGACGUCAAGUCCUCAUGGCCCUUACGGGUUGGGCUACACACGUGCUACAAUGGUGGUGACAGUGGGUUAAUCCCCAAAAGCCAUCUCAGUUCGGAUUGUCGUCUGCAACUCGACGGCAUGAAGUCGGAAUCGCUAGUAAUCGCGUAACAGCAUGACGCGGUGAAUACGUUCCCGGGCCUUGUACACACCGCCCGUCACACCAUGGGAGUUGGGUUUACCCGAAGAACGGUGCGCCAACCUUUAUAGGGGGCAGCUGGCCCCGGUAAGCUCAGCGACUGGGGUGAAGUCGUAACAAGGUAGCCA